UACGGGGGGGGCAAGCGUUGUUCGGAAUUACUGGGCGUAAAGGGCUCGUAGGCGGCCAACUAAGUCGGACGUGAAAUCCCCAGGCUCAACCUGGGAACUGCGUCCGAUACUGGAUGGCUUGAAUCCGGGAGAGGGAUGCAGAAUUCCAGGUGUAGCGGUGAAAUGCGUAGAUAUCUGGAGGAACACCGGUGGCGAAGGCGGCAUCCGGGACCGACACUGACGCUGAGGAGCGAAAGCCAGGGGAGCAAACGGG
rnacentral:rRNA from 1 species